rnacentral:rRNA from 1 species
UACGAAGGGGGCUAGCGUUGUUCGGAAUUACUGGGCGUAAAGCGCACGUAGGCGGAUAUUUAAGUCAGGGGUGAAAUCCCGGGGCUCAACCCCGGAACUGCCUUUGAUACUGGGUAUCUCGAGUCCGAGAGAGGUGAGUGGAAUUCCGAGUGUAGAGGUGAAAUUCGUAGAUAUUCGGAGGAACACCAGUGGCGAAGGCAGCGAAUUGGCCCUAUAUUGACGCUCAGGCACGAAAGCAUGGGGAUCAAACAGG